rnacentral:rRNA from 1 species
UCGUCAGCUCGUGUCGUGAGAUGUUGGGUUAAGUCCCGUAACGAGCGCAACCCUUGUCCUUAUUUGCCAGCACGUAAUGGUGGGAACUAUAAGGAGACUGCCGGUGACAAACCGGAGGAAGGUGGGGACGACGUCAAGUCAUCAUGGCCCUUAUGACCAGGGCUACACACGUGCUACAAUGGGGCGUACAGAGGGUUGCUAAGCCGCGAGGUGGAGCCAAUCCCAGAAAACGUUUCGUAGUCCGGAUCGAAGUCAGCAACUCGACUUCGCGAAGUCGGAAUCGCUAGUAAUCGCGAAUCAGCAUGUCGCGGUGAA